UUCCACAAGAACCACGAGGACAGAGCCGCCUUGCUCCGGACCUUCAGCUUUUGGGGCUUUGAGAUUGUGAGACCGGGGCAUCCCCCCCUUGUCCCCAAGAGACCCGACACUUGCUUCAUGGCCUACACGUCGGGGAGAGAGUCUUUGGGCGAGGAGUAGUAGCGGCCGCAGUGGGGCUGGGCAUCAAGCUCCUGGGGCCGCCCCGGCGUCUGCCGGGUGGGUGCGAACGGUUACCAUAUUGGACAACGCAACCACAGGGCCUGAAAAAUGAGUUGCUUGCCAGGCACGGUGGUGUGCACCUGUAGUCCCAGCUACCCAGGAGGCUGAGGUGGGAGAAUCAUUUGAGCCCAGGAGUUCGAGGCUGCAAUGAACUAUGAUGACAUCACUGCACUCCAGCCUGGAUGACAGAGGAAGACUCAAUCCAUGCUUAUUGUGAUAACAAAUUCCCCAUGUAUCCAAGUUGUAAAGAAAGGUAAGAUGUACCUAAUGAAGGUGUGGG
rnacentral:lncRNA from 1 species